UACGUAGGGUGCAAGCGUUGUCCGGAAUUAUUGGGCGUAAAGAGCUCGUAGGCGGUUUGUCACGUCUGCUGUGAAAACGCGAGGCUCAACCUCGCGCCUGCAGUGGGUACGGGCAGACUAGAGUGUGGUAGGGGAGACUGGAAUUCCUGGUGUAGCGGUGGAAUGCGCAGAUAUCAGGAGGAACACCGAUGGCGAAGGCAGGUCUCUGGGCCACUACUGACGCUGAGGAGCGAAAGCAUGGGGAGCGAACAGG
rnacentral:rRNA from 1 species